rnacentral:rRNA from 1 species
GGCUCAGAACGAACGCUGGCGGCAUGCCUAAUACAUGCAAGUCGAACGAGAAAGUCCCUUCGGGGGCGAGUAGAGUGGCGCACGGGUGAGUAACGCGUAGGUGACCUACCCUUUAGUGGGGGAUAACAGGGAGAAAUUCCUGCUAAUACCGCAUAAGCCAGGCCCAUUUGAAUAGGGCCUUGGAAAGAUGGCCUCUGCAUAUGCCAUCGCUGAAGGAAGGGCCUGCGUUCCAUUAGCUUGUUGGUGGGGUAAUGGCCUACCAAGGCGACGAUGGAUAGCCGGCCUGAGAGGGUGAUCGGCCACACUGGGACUGAGACACGGCCCAGACUCCUACGGGAGGCAGCAGUAGGGAAUAUUGCGCAAUGGAGGAAACUCUGACGCAGCAAUGCCGCGUGAGUGAGGACGGCCUUCGGGUUGUAAAGCUCUUUCAUUGGGGAAGAAUGGCCUAGACGUUAAUAGCGUUUAGGAUUGACGGUACCCAAAGAAGAAGCACCGGCUAACUUCGUGCCAGCAGCCGCGGUAAUACGAAGGGUGCAAGCGUUGUUCGGAUUUACUGGGCGUAAAGCGCGUGUAGGCGGAUCGGUAAGUCAGGUGUGAAAUCUCGGGGCCCAACCCCGAAACUGCGCCUGAAACUGCCAAUCUAGAGUCCUGGAGAGGGAAGGGGAAUUUCAUGUGUAGGGGUAAAAUCCGUAGAGAUAUGAAAGAACACCAGAGGCGAAGGCGCCUUCCUGGACAGGAACUGACGCUAAGACGCGAAAGCGUGGGGAGCAAACCGGAUUAGAUACCCUGGUAGUCCACGCUGUAAACGAUGGGUGCUAGUUUUUGCGGGUAUUGACCCCUGCAGGAACAAAGCUAACGCAUUAAGUACCCCGNCUGGGGAGUACGGU